UGCACAAAGCGGCUUGUGUAAACACCGUGCUGUAUGCCGAACGCGUGCCUUCCUUCUGGGAGUCAGGCAGUGGGGCCGUCGGGACCAGCCCCCAACCAAACCGCUGGGCCCCAAGGCUCCGCGAGCUUCCGCGUGGAAAGGACGGCCCACGUGCCGGCCCAGCUCCCUGCCCCCAAGGGGGCCUGCUGGGAGAUCGCACCUGGUUUCCUCAGGGCCUCCCGCCUUUUCCCUUUACCGAUUCGCUCUGUAUCCUUUCACUGUGAUAAAUAUGGCCGUGGGCAGGCCCCCGUGCGGAGUCGGCUCUGGAAGCCCGCCGGGUGGUCUCGG